CACUAUGCUCAGCCUUAAAAUUUGAUAGGCCCCUACGCCCCCUAUCCGCCCGGGUACUACGAGCACCAGCUUGAAACCCAAAGGACUUGGCGGUGCUUCACAUCCGUCUAGAGGAGCCUGUUCUAGAACCGAUAACCCCCGUUAAACCUCACCCUCCCUUGUUUAUACCGCCUAUAUACCGCCGUCGUCAGCCUACCCUGUGAAGGCCCAGAAGUGAGCAAGAUUGGUAAAGCCCAAAACGUCAGGUCGAGGUGUAGUGAAUGAGAGGGGAAGAAAUGGGCUACAUUUCCUAAGUUAGGAAAUACGAAUAAUGAACUGAAAUAAACAUUAGAAGGUGGAUUUAGCAGUAAGCAGAAAAACAGAGUGUUUCGCUGAAGUUAUGGCAAUAAAGCACGCACACAUCGCCCGUCACUCUCCCCAAGCUACCCUACUAACCAGUACCUAAAAAAUAAUAUCCGCAAAGGGGAGG
rnacentral:rRNA from 1 species